ACAGAUACAGGAGCUGCACAGGGUUAGUUUCAGAGAUUAGCUGAACAACAUUCUAAAAUGCCUUGGAAUGUAAAAUUUGUCAUGCUAUUUUUUGCACUUGGAGACGUGCUGCUGGUUUCCACAGAGCCAGUUCGCACAGCGAUCAUUCAGAUUGGGAAAGCAUCUGUAGUGGAAGGAGAAAAGGUUGAAUUCAAAUGUGUAAUAUCAGCUGAGCACGGAGAACAAGCAGAGAACAAGGAGAGGAAUUGGUUCCAUUUAUAUAAAAACAGAGAGAAGAUCAGCUCACUGCCGGAGCCCGGAGGAAUGGGAGCUGUCACAUUUACAAUACAAGAUAUCACAAAGAAUGACGCUGGAAACUAUACCUGCAUGUAUGGAAAUAAGAAUC